rnacentral:rRNA from 1 species
GGGCAGCGGGAUUGAAGCUUGCUUCAAUUGCCGGCGACCGGCGCACGGGUGAGUAACGCGUAUCCAACCUUCCGUACACUCAGGGAUAGCCUUUCGAAAGAAAGAUUAAUACCUGAUGGUAUGAUGAGAUUGCAUGAUAGCAUCAUUAAAGAUUUAUCGGUGUACGAUGGGGAUGCGUUCCAUUAGGUAGUAGGCGGGGUAACGGCCCACCUAGCCGACGAUGGAUAGGGGUUCUGAGAGGAAGGUCCCCCACAUUGGAACUGAGACACGGUCCAAACUCCUACGGGAGGCAGCAGUGAGGAAUAUUGGUCAAUGGACGAGAGUCUGAACCAGCCAAGUAGCGUGAAGGAUGAAGGUCCUACGGAUUGUAAACUUCUUUUAUAAGGGAAUAAACCCUUCCACGUGUGGGAGCUUGUAUGUACCUUAUGAAUAAGCAUCGGCUAACUCCGUGCCAGCAGCCGCGGUAAUACGGAGGAUGCGAGCGUUAUCCGGACUUAUUGGGUUUAAAGGGAGCGCAGACGGGUCGUUAAGUCAGCUGUGAAAGUUUGGGGCUCAACCUUAAAAUUGCAGUUGAUACUGGCGUCCUUGAGUGCGGUUGAGGUGUGCGGAAUUCGUGGUGUAGCGGUGAAAUGCUUAGAUAUCACGAAGAACUCCGAUUGCGAAGGCAGCACACUAAGCCGUAACUGACGUUCAUGCUCGAAAGUGUGGGUAUCAAACAGGAUUAGAUACCCUGGUAGUCCACACGGUAAACGAUGGAUACUCGCUGUUGGCGAUAUACUGUCAGCGGC